UACGAAGGGGGCUAGCGUUGUUCGGAUUUACUGGGCGUAAAGCGCACGUAGGCGGAAUGUUAAGUCAGAGGUGAAAUCCUGGAGCUCAACUCCAGAACUGCCUUUGAUACUGGCAAUCUAGAGUCCGGAAGAGGUGAGUGGAACUCCUAGUGUAGAGGUGGAAUUCGUAGAUAUUAGGAAGAACACCAGUGGCGAAGGCGGCUUACUGGUCCGGAACUGACGCUGAGGUGCGAAAGCGUGGGGAGCAAACAGG
rnacentral:rRNA from 1 species